GCCAUGUUGGCCAGACUGGUCUCAAACUCCUGGGCUCAAGUGUUCUGCCUGCCUUGGCCCCACAAAGUGCUAGGAUUACAGGCGUGAGCCACCAUGCCCAGCCAGCUGAUGCUCUUAAUCUGUGCCCUACCCAGCCUUCCUGGGAGGCUUCCCAAGAGCUACACAGAGCAUGAGUUCUGGAAUCGGGUUGAUGGGGGUACCAGUUAUUACUAAUAGGAAUGAAGAUGGGUAAUUCUUUCAGACAGCACCCUUGAUUAAAACAAGAGAGUAGUGCUGCCUCUCUGUGAUUCUGUGUCUCCCUGCCCUGCUCACACAGACACCACACCCACCCACACGCAUGAUCAUGAAAAGAGGAAAUGGAUCCAGGAGAAGGAGACGACUCCUGAGUGAAAACAACGGGGUUUUUCACAUUGAGAGCUUUGCCCAACACCCCAAAGAUGAAAAGAGCAGGAAACUGCUGGGGCCGAUUGAACACUGGACUUUUGUUGUGGAAAAAGGCAAAGGGAAGCCGGAAGAGACUGGAACAGUUUCCAUGGUGCUGGAGGAUGGGGAAGUGGGUAGGGAUUAGCUGGAGGGAGAAGGAGAAGCUGGGGUGGAGGGGAACCUCCACUUGCCAGGAGAGCACAUGUAGGAUGGGAACCCCAGAUGAUACUCAAGGCAUGGCAUUAGACCAGAAGCAAGUCUGUGGUGAAAUUAGGGAAGGCUCCACUGCGGACUGUAGACAGAGCACUGGACAAGGAAGUGGGAGACCCAGGGUCCAGUCCUGGCUCUGGAGCCCCCUGGGUGGGCUGCCCCGGGCACCUUUCUCUCUUGGGGCCUCCAUUCCUACCUCUGUGAAGCGAGUGCUGAACCUCUCUUAGCCCUGACUUGCUGAAAUGCUGGGACUCUGUACAGAGGCUGACAUUAAGCAGGGAUCUGUCGUGGGGUGCUGCAAUGUUCCUCCAGAUGCUGCACGGGAGAGGGCAGAAAAGGCCUAUAUGGUGAGUCCGCCCUGGGAGCCUCUGCUUGGAAGCUGAAGUGGCCUGAGAGUGACUCAGAAACCACGGAAGUUCCCGG
rnacentral:lncRNA from 10 species